rnacentral:lncRNA from 1 species
GUGCGUGCCUGCGUGCGUGCGUGCGUGCAUGUGUGCGUGUGUGCGUGUGUAAGAAGAGUGUAUUUGAAGAGUGUGUGAAAAUGAGAGAUGGAACGAGACAGUUGGGUGAGAGAUGGAGAGAGACAGUUGGGUGAGAGAUGGAGAGAGACAGUUGGGUGAGAGGAGAGAUGGAGAGAGACAGUUGGGUGAGAGAUGGAGAGAGACAGUUCGGUGAGAGAUGGAGACAGACAGUUGGGUGAGAGCAGAGAUGGAGAGAGACAGUUGGGUGAGAGGAGAGAUGGAGAGAGACAGUUGGGUGAGAGAUGGAGAGAGACAGUUGAGUGAGAGGAGAGAUGGAGAGAGACAGUUGGGUGAGAGAUGGAGAGAGAUAGUUGGGUGAGAGGAGAGAUGGAGAGAGACAGUUGGGUGAGAGAUGGAGAGAGACAGUUGGGUGAGAGAUGG